rnacentral:rRNA from 1 species
UACGAAGGGGGCUAGCGUUGCUCGGAAUCACUGGGCGUAAAGCGCACGUAGGCGGAUUGUUAAGUCAGGGGUGAAAUCCUGGAGCUCAACUCCAGAACUGCCUUUGAUACUGGCGAUCUCGAGUCCGGGAGAGGUGAGUGGAACUGCGAGUGUAGAGGUGAAAUUCGUAGAUAUUCGGAAGAACACCAGUGGCGAAGGCGACUUACUGGACACAUACUGACGCUGAGGUGCGAAAGCGUGGGGAGCAAACAGG